rnacentral:piRNA from 13 species
CCCGGCUAGCUCAGUCGGUAGAGCAUGA